rnacentral:ncRNA from 2 species
CGGGAGUAACUAUGACUCU